GAUUUACUGGGCGUAAAGCGCGCGUAGGUGGCUAAUUAAGUCAAAUGUGAAAUCCCCGAGCUUAACUUGGGAAUUGCAUUCGAUACUGGUUAGCUAGAGUAUGGGAGAGGAUGGUAGAAUUCCAGGCGUAGCGGUGAAAUGCGUAGAGAUCUGGAGGAAUACCGAUGGCGAAGGCAGCCAUCUGGCCUAAUACUGACACUGAGGUGCGAAAGCAUGGGGAGCAAACAGGAUUAGAUACCCUGGUAGUCCAUGCCGUAAACGAUGUCUACUAGCCGUUGGGGCCUUUGAGGCUUUAGUGGCGCAGCUAACGCGAUAAGUAGACCGCCUGGGGAGUACGGUCGCAAGACUAAAACUCAAAUGAAUUGACGGGGGCCCGCACAAGCGGUGGAGCAUGUGGUUUAAUUCGAUGCAACGCGAGGAACCUUACCUGGCCUUGACAUACAGAGAACUUUCCAGAGAUGGAUUGGUGCCUUCGGGAACUCUGAUACAGGUGCUGCAUGGCUGUCGUCAGCUCGUGUCGUGAGAUGUUGGGUUAAGUCCCGCAACGAGCGCAACCCUUUUCCUUACUUGCCAGCAUUUCGGAUGGGAACUUUAAGGAUACUGCCAGUGACAAACUGGAGGAAGGCGGGGACGACGUCAAGUCAUCAUGGCCCUUACGGCCAGGGCUACACACGUGCUACAAUGGUCGGUACAAAGGGUUGCUACACAGCGAUGUGAUGCUAAUCUCAAAAAGCCGAUCGUAGUCCGGAUUGGAGUCUGCAACUCGACUCCAUGAAGUCGGAAUCGCUA
rnacentral:rRNA from 1 species